UAGUCAGGUGCCCUGCGGGGCUUAAUAGGGAAGACCGGUGUAACGCCGGCGCGGUCCCGCCACUGUAAUGGGGAGCAAACCCGAUAAAAGCCACUGGGAGAUAUCCUGGGAAGGCCGGGGGAGCGAGGAACCAGAGCCAGGAGAACUGCCUGAUUAC
rnacentral:ncRNA from 1 species